AACGCACCUUGCGCCCCUUGGCAUUCCGAGGGGCACACCCGUUUGAGUGUCGUGAAAUCUUCAAAACCCUUUUUUCCUUUGAACCAUUGCGGUCCGGGAAAAGGAUUUUUGGACUUGGAGGCUUAAUGCUCGCCCUUUCUUUUCGAAAGCGAGCUCCUCUCAAAUGAAUUAGUGGGGUCCGCUUUGCUGAUCCUUGACGUGAUAAAAUGUUUCUACGUUUUGGGUUUAGCACCGUCCCUUGGAUGCCUGCUCCUAAUCGUCUCAUUGACAAUGAUGGUGCUCCGGUCACCGCCGUCUACAUCGGCGGGAGGCUGGACCCACAAAAAGAAAACCUUGACCUCAAAUCGGGUGAGACUACCCGCUGAACUUAA
rnacentral:misc_RNA from 1 species